GGGGUUGUGGCUCAAUGGUAGAGCGCUCGCCUAGCAAAUGGGAGGCACUGGGUUUGAUCCUCAGCACCACA
rnacentral:tRNA from 1 species